rnacentral:ribozyme from 1 species
UGCCCAGCAACUCCUAUCCUUACCUCCACGCGGUACCGGCCGGAAACUAUGAGCAACCUUAGGGAAGAUCGGGUAACCAACCCCGGUGGGAACUUUGGUCAUAGGCUGACAGGGAAGG